rnacentral:rRNA from 1 species
CUACGGAGGGUGCGAGCGUUAAUCGGAAUUACUGGGCGUAAAGCGUGCGUAGGCGGUUUGUUAAGUCAGAUGUGAAAGCCCUGGGCUCAACCUGGGAACUGCAUUUGAUACUGGCAGACUAGAGUAUGAUAGAGGGGGGUAGAAUUCCUGGUGUAGCGGUGAAAUGCGUAGAUAUCAGGAGGAAUACCAGUGGCGAAGGCGGCCCCCUGGAUCAAUACUGACGCUGAGGUACGAAAGCGUGGGGAGCGAACAGGAUUAGAAACCCUAGUAGUCC